rnacentral:rRNA from 1 species
GGAGUUAGCCGGUGCUUCUUCUGUGAGUGAUGUCCUUCCUGCCGGUUAUUGACCCGCAGGCCUUCUUCCUCACUGAAAGUGCUUUACAACCCGAAGGCCUUCUUCACACACGCGGCAUGGCUGGAUCAGGGUUGCCCCCAUUGUCCAAUAUUCCCCACUGCUGCCUCCCGUAGGAGUCUGGGCCGUGUCUCAGUCCCAGUGUGGCUGAUCAUCCUCUCAGACCAGCUACGGAUCGUCGCCUUGGUGAGCCGUUACCUCACCAACCAGCUAAUCCGACAUAGGCUCAUCCGAUAGCGCGAGGCCCGAAGGUCCCCCGCUUUCCCCCGUAGGGCGUAUGCGGUAUUAGCCUGGGUUUCCCCAGGUUAUCCCCCACUACCGGGCAGAUUCCUAUGCAUUACUCACCCGUCCGCCGCUCGCCACCAGGGAGCAAGCUCCCCGUGCUGCCGCUCGACUUGCAUGUGUUAGGCCUGCCGCCAGCGUUCAAUCUGAGCCAGUANACACACUCANAGAGCGGCGGNGCGACGACGC